GACGAACGCUGGCGGCGUGCUUAACACAUGCAAGUCGAACGGAAAGGCCCUGCUUUUGUGGGGUGCUCGAGUGGCGAACGUGUGAGUAACACGUGAGUAACCUUCCCUUUACUUUGGGAUAACUUCAGGAAACUGGGGCUAAUACCUGAUAGGAGCUCCUGCUGCAUGGUGGGGGUUGGAACGUUUCGGCGGUUGGGGAUGGACUGGCGGCUUAUCAGCUUGUUGGUGGGGUAGUGGCUUACCAAGGCAUUGACGGAUAGCCGGCCUGAGAGGGUGAACGGGGACAAGGGGACUGAGGGAGGGACCAGAGGGGAACGGGAGGCAGCAGGGGGGAAUAUGGCACAAUGGGGGGAAGCGUGAGGCAGAAACGCCGGGAGCGGGAAGAAGGCCUUCGGGGGGGAAAGGGCAGUAGGCUGUGACGAAGCGGGAGUGACGGUAAUAGGUAAAGAAGCACCGGCUAACUACGUG
rnacentral:rRNA from 1 species